rfam:Colinus virginianus strain Texas jcf7180006227108, whole genome shotgun sequence.
CAGUAAACUGAGACUGAAACAGUUUUCAAGUAUCUUUCUACAGCAUAUCAAGAGCACAGGUUGGAUA